UUUUGACCCCAAAGAUCCCUUUUAUUAUCAGCUUCUCUCCUCACCUCUGCAGGGUCGCAUCUCCUCUCCUGUCCUGCAGACUUUUGAGUUGUUCUUCCCAUCAUCAGGCAUUAGUAGUAGUAGUAUUAUUCUUGGUGUGGAUCUAGGGUUUCUUCUUUUCUUCCUCGUAAAAUAUAUAUAUACACUUGCAAAAGUCGUACGAAAAGCGAAAGUCAUCAUCGUCAUCAUCAAUAUUCACAAAAUUUACAUAUGCAUAAAUUUCUUCGAAAAUUCACUUCAUCGUCGGUCGGACGAGAACACGUCAUCAACGAGUACAAUUUCGUCAUCAUCGUCACCAACAAGAAUCAGAAGAAAAGCAAAGCAUAGCAAAAGCAAGCUCCUUUUUUGUUCGACCAGAUCUAAGAAACCCUAAUUUUACCAGUUUGAUUAUUAUAUAUACUUUCUUGGGAUUUUUUUUUUGUCUUUUCUGGAUUGAAAAACCUGGAAAAAUCGGACCGUUGAACUUCCAAGAGGAAUUACCACUACUGAGAUGAAAAAAUGGGACCGAUUUACUUGAUUUUUGAUUUUUCCACAAAAUCAAAGCGAAGGAAAGCCAAAUCCCUACCUCAUUGGAUGAAUCCGGAUAAAUCGGCAUCAAAUUGAUACUUUGAAUAAUUUGUUCAUUUUGUGGGGUUCUAUUUUUAAAUAAUGGCGGCGGCGGUGGUGGUGAAUUUGAUAGAAGGGGAAAGAGUACUGGGGGAAGUGGAAGUGUAUAGUAUUGAUGAUCAGAACGGUGUCGUGUGGGACAGGGACGAAAUUCGGAUCUCUGAGUAUUCUCAGUCAAGUGAAAGGUGUCCGCCACUGGCGGUGCUGCAUACUGUUACUUCUUCUUCGUCAGACUCAGGCGGGCUUUGCUUCAAACUGGAGUUGAAAGACAAGUCUCAACAGAAUUCGCCGCUUUCCAUUUUGCACGCCACUUGUCUCAGGGAAAAUAAGACUGCAAUAAUGCCACUUGACGAGGAAGAUGAACUUCAUUUGGUUGCCAUGCAUUCUAGACAGCAUGAAGGACAGUUCCCUUGCUUUUGGGGAUUCAUUGUUGCAUCUCGACUUUACAAUUCUUGCCUUGUCAUGCUGAACCUUAGAUGUCUUGGUAUUGUGUUUGAUCUUGAUGAAACACUCAUCGUGGCCAACACAAUGCGCUCUUUUGAGGAUAGGAUUGAAGCCUUACAGCGGAAGAUAAACUCCGAGGUUGAUCAACAACGUGUUUCUGCUAUGCUGGCAGAAAUAAAGCGUUAUCAGGAUGACAAAAAUAUACUGAAGCAAUAUGCAGAAAAUGACCAGGUUGUUGAUAACGGGAAGGUUGUCAAGUCUCAGCCCGAGGUUGUUCUUGCUUUGUCAGACAAUCACCAGACCAUUGUUCGCCCACUUUUAAGGCUUCAGGAGAAGAACAUUAUCCUUACUCGCAUUAAUCCUCAAAUCCGUGAUACAAGUGUACUUGUAAGAUUGAGGCCUGCAUGGGAAGAUCUCAGAAACUACUUAACCGCAAGAGGUCGAAAGCGUUUUGAAGUGUAUGUUUGCACAAUGGCUGAAAGGGACUAUGCUUUAGAAAUGUGGCGGCUCCUUGAUCCUGAUUCAAACUUGAUUGACCCGAAAGAGCUAUUGGAUCGUAUUGUCUGUGUCAAGUCUGGCUUGAGGAAGUCGUUGUUCAAUGUUUUCCAACAUGGAAACUGUCAUCCUAAGAUGGCAUUGGUGAUUGAUGACCGGUUAAAAGUGUGGGAUGAAAAGGAUCAACCUCGAGUGCAUGUGGUUCCUGCCUUUGCUCCUUAUUAUGCUCCUCAAGCUGAAGCCAACAAUGCAAUUCCAGUUCUCUGUGUUGCAAGGAAUGUAGCGUGCAAUGUCAGAGGUGGUUUCUUCAAAGAAUUUGAUGAGGGUCUCUUGCAACGAAUUUCUGAAGUUGCAUAUGAAGAUGAUAUUAAAGAAAUUCCUUCUCCUCCUGAUGUGAGCAACUAUUUAAUCUCAGAGGAUGAUCCUUCCGCUUCAAAUGGAAACAAGGAUUCACUUGGUUUUGAUGGCAUGGCAGAUGUUGAGGUGGAAAGAAGAUUAAAGGAGGCAAUUUCGGCUUCCUCCACUGCUCCUUUGGCAAUUCCAAAUUUGGAUCCAAAAAUUGUUGCCACAGUCCAAUAUGCUGUACCUUCUUCUAUUUCUGUGCUGCAACCAACGAUGUCAGGGCCAGUGGUUCCCUUUCCAUCUCAGCAGUUGUCUCAAGUGACUUCUGUCCUUAAAAAUCCUAUUAAUCAAACUAUUCUUCCUCCAGAAGCAAGCUUGCAAAGUUCUCCUGCUAGGGAAGAGGGUGAAGUCCCAGAAUCAGAGUUAGAUCCUGAUACAAGGAGGAGACUACUCAUUUUGCAGCAUGGUCAAGACUCAAGGGAGCGCACAUCAAGUGAACCUCAGUUUCCUGUACGCACACCAUUACAAGUCUCUGCACCGAGGGCUCAGGGACGUGGUUGGUUUCCAAUUGAUGAAGAGAUGAGUCCAAGACAACUUAACAGAGUUGUACCACCAAAGGAUUUCCCUCUGCGCUCAGAACCUAUGGAAAUUGAAAAGCACCGUUCGAGUCACUCUCCUUUUCUCCAAAAAGCAGAGAGUGCUGUCCCGCCUGAUAGAGCUUUUCUUGAAAACCAGAGGAUGCUGAAGGAGACACUUCCUAGAGAGGAUCAUUUGAGAUUAAACCAGCCAGUUGCCAGUUUCCCAUCAUUUUCUGGUGAAGAAGCUUCCAUGGUUCGAUCAUCUUCAGCGAAUAGAGAUCUUGACCUUGAAUCUGGACAAAUUGAUCCACAGGCUGAAACACCUAUUGGAGCUUUGCAUGAUAUUGCAUUCAAAUGCGGAACAAAGGUGGAGUUCAAGCAAGCAUUGGUUUCAAGCUCGGAGUUGCAAUUCUGUGCAGAGGUCUGGUUUGCGGGAGAGAAAAUUGGUGAAGGGAUAGGUAGGACCAGAAGGGAAGCACAGCGUCAAGCUGCUGACGGUUCACUUAUGAAUUUGGCUGAUAAGUAUAUAUCAUCUCUCAAACCUGAUUCCAGCUCUGUUCCUGGGGAAUGGCGUAGAUUCCCAAAUACAUCCAACAAUGGUUUUGCCAACGAUUUUAGUUCUUGGGGGUAUCAACAAUUGCCUAAGGAGGAGCCCGGGUCAUUUUCUACUGCAUCCAUGCCUCCUAGGGUGCUGGAUUCGAGAUUGGAGGCGUCCAAGAGACCUGUGGGUCCAAUUGCUGCCCUUAAAGAGCUGUGUUCAAUGGAGGGCCUUGGCUUAGCUUUCCAAACUCAGCCUCAGCUUUCAGCUAAUCCUGGCCAAAAGAAUGAAGUGUAUGCACAGGUUGAAAUAGAUGGACAGGUGUUAGGAAAGGGAAUUGGGAUAAACUGGGAUGAAGCAAAAUCACAGGCUGCUGAAAAGGCCCUUGGAACCUUGAAAUCAAUGCUUGGUUCAUAUGGUCACAAGCGUCAGGGCUCUCCCAGGUAGGUGAAUUCUACGAAACUGUCAACAACCUUGAUAGCAUAAUUACAUGCUUGUUUAUGAUGCUGCUGCAGACCAUGGCAGGGGAUGUCAAGCAAAAGAUUGAAACCGGAGUUUUCCAGGGUUCUGCAGCGGAUGCCAUCUUCUGCAAGAUAUCCAAAGAAUGCUUCUCCCGUACCGUAAUUCUUCAUGUCCUAAUUGCACCUUGGCAGUAUAGCAUCUGCAGAGAGACUUGUAGCUUAUGCGGUGACACCAGAGAAUUUGGGAGCAAUGAUUAGGUCAUGUUCCAACCAACUGUUUUAGAUCAGUUUUACAGGCUGCUGCUGAUAUAGUUGCAAGUUUUUGAAGACAAGGGAAAUGCUUUGCCAUAUUGCUGCCGUUCAAAAUUGUACAUGUUGCAGGACGUUCGUGGACUACUACCGUAGGAGUUUGUUGCGCGAGGGUGCAAAAGGCCCUCACAAGCCAAUUGGGAAGCAAAACGAGACGGGCACUGUGUAUAUCUUCUUUUCUGACAUUGAAUGCAGCCAUGAGCCAUGAAUGUGGUAGAGCUGUGUCCCUCGAAUUUGUGUUCGAGGUGGUUGUAUAAUUAUACCGGGAAUAUGGAACGCUUUCAUCGGGUGUAGAACGUGGAUUUUGGAGAGGAUUCACUGAAUGCUAACAGUACAUUGGUUCAAUGGUCUGGCUCCUAUUUCACUUUCUGGAUGAAAGAUGAAAGUGAAAGUUUUGUUCAGUUUUAGGAGCUCUUUCUUGUUGAUGUUGAUGUUGUGCAGGGUCACUGAUCUGGAUGAUACAUUCCAUUUCACUUGGCCAAUCCACCCCAGCCCAAUGAUAAAUUGGCUUUUUCGUCA